rnacentral:rRNA from 1 species
GACGAACGCUGGCGGCGUGCUUAACACAUGCAAGUCGAACGGUAAGGCCCUUCGGGGUACACGAGUGGCGAACGGGUGAGUAACACGUGGGUGAUCUGCCCUGCACUUCGGGAUAAGCCUGGGAAACUGGGUCUAAUACCGGAUAGGACCACUGCCUGCAUGGGUGGUGGUGGAAAGCUUUUGCGGUGUGGGAUGGGCCCGCGGCCUAUCAGCUUGUUGGUGGGGUGAUGGCCUACCAAGGCGACGACGGGUAGCCGGCCUGAGAGGGUGACCGGCCACACUGGGAAUGAGAGACGGCCCAGACUCCUACGGGAGGCAGCAGUGGGGAAUAUUGCACAAUGGGCGCAAGCCUGAUGCAGCGACGCCGCGUGAGGGAUGACGGCCUUCGGGUUGUAAACCUCUUUCAGCAUCGACGAAGCGCAAGUGACGGUAGGUGCAGAAGAAGGACCGGCCAACUACGUGCCAGCCGCCGCAGUAA